rnacentral:rRNA from 1 species
UUAAGCGACUAAGCGUACACGGUGGAUGCCCUGGCAGUCAGAGGCGAUGAAGGACGUGCUAAUCUGCGAUAAGCGUCGGUAAGGUGAUAUGAACCGUUAUAACCGGCGAUUUCCGAAUGGGGAAACCCAGUGUGAUUCGUCACACUAUCAUUAACUGAAUCCAUAGGUUAAUGAGGCGAACCGGGGGAACUGAAACAUCUAAGUACCCGAGGAAAAGAAAUCAACCGAGAUUCCCCCAGUAGCGGCGAGCGAACGGGGAGGAGCCCAGAGCCUGAAUCAGUGUGUGUGUUAGUGGAAGCGUCUGGAAAGGCGCGCGAUACAGGGUGACAGCCCCGUACACAAAAAUGCACAUACUGUGAGCUCGAUGAGUAGGGCGGGACACGUGGUAUCCUGUCUGAAUAUGGGGGGACCAUCCUCCAAGGCUAAAUACUCCUGACUGACCGAUAGUGAACCAGUACCGUGAGGGAAAGGCGAAAGAACCCCGGCGAGGGGAGUGAAAAAGAACCUGAAACCGUGUACGUACAAGCAGUGGGAGCACGCUUCGGCGUGUGACUGCGUACCUUUUGUAUAAUGGGUCAGCGACUUAUAUUCUGUAGCAAGGUUAACCGAAUAGGGGAGCCGAAGGGAAACCGAGUCUUAACUGGGCGUUAAGUUGCAGGGUAUAGACCCGAAACCCGGUGAUCUAGCCAUGGGCAGGUUGAAGGUUGGGUAACACUAACUGGAGGACCGAACCGACUAAUGUUGAAAAAUUAGCGGAUGACUUGUGGCUGGGGGUGAAAGGCCAAUCAAACCGGGAGAUAGCUGGUUCUCCCCGAAAGCUAUUUAGGUAGCGCCUCGUGAAUUCAUCUCCGGGGGUAGAGCACUGUUUCGGCAAGGGGGUCAUCCCCGACUUACCAACCCGAUGCAAACUGCGAAUACCGGAGAAUGUUAUCACGGGAGACACACGGCGGGUGCUAACGUCCGUCGUGAAGAGGGAAACAACCCAGACCGCCAGCUAAGGUCCCAAAGUCAUGGUUAAGUGGGAAACGAUGUGGGAAGGCCCAGACAGCCAGGAUGUUGGCUUAGAAGCAGCCAUCAUUUAAAGAAAGCGUAAUAGCUCACUGGUCGAGUCGGCCUGCGCGGAAGAUGUAACGGGGCUAAACCAUGCACCGAAGCUGCGGCAGCGACACUAUGUGUUGUUGGGUAGGGGAGCGUUCUGUAAGCCUGCGAAGGUGGCCUGUGAGGGUUGCUGGAGGUAUCAGAAGUGCGAAUGCUGACAUAAGUAACGAUAAAGCGGGUGAAAAGCCCGCUCGCCGGAAGACCAAGGGUUCCUGUCCAACGUUAAUCGGGGCAGGGUGAGUCGACCCCUAAGGCGAGGCCGAAAGGCGUAGUCGAUGGGAAACAGGUUAAUAUUCCUGUACUUGGUGUUACUGCGAAGGGGGGACGGAGAAGGCUAUGUUGGCCGGGCGACGGUUGUCCCGGUUUAAGCGUGUAGGCUGGUUUUCCAGGCAAAUCCGGAAAAUCAAGGCUGAGGCGUGAUGACGAGGCACUACGGUGCUUGAGCAACAAAUGCCCUGCUUCCAGGAAAAGCCUCUAAGCAUCAGGUAACAUCAAAUCGUACCCCAAACCGACACAGGUGGUCAGGUAGAGAAUACCAAGGCGCUUGCGGUAAUACGGAGGGUGCAAGCGUUAAUCGGAAUUACUGGGCGUAAAGCGCACGCAGGCGGUUUGUUAAGUCAGAUGUGAAAUCCCCGGGCUCAACCUGGGAACUGCAUCUGAUACUGGCAAGCUUGAGUCUCGGUAGGGGGGGUAGAAUUCCAGGUGUAGCGGUGAAAUGCGUAGAGAUCUGGAGGAAUACCGGUGGCGAAGGCGGCCCCCUGGACGAAGACUGACGCUCAGGUGCGAAAGCGUGGGGAGCAAACAGGAUUAGAUACCCUGGUAGUCCACGCCGUAAACGAUGUCGACUUGGAGGUUGUGCCCUUGAGGCGUGGCUUCCGGAGCUAACGCGUUAAGUCGACCGCCUGGGGAGUACGGCCGCAAGGUUAAAACUCAAAUGAAUUGACGGGGGCCCGCACAAGCGGUGGAGCAUGUUGGUUAAUUCGAUGCAACGCGAAGAACCUUACCUGGUCUUGACAUCCACAGAACUUUCCAGAGAUGGAUUGGUGCCUUCGGGAACUGUGAGACAGGUGCUGCAUGGCUGUCGUCAGCUCGUGUUGUGAAAUGUUGGGUUAAGUCCCGCAACGAGCGCAACCCUUAUCCUUUGUUGCCAGCGGUCCGGCCGGGAACUCAAAGGAGACUGCCAGUGAUAAACUGGAGAAGGUGGGGAUGACGUCAAGUCAUCAUGGCCCUUACGACCAGGGCUACACCACGUGCUACAAUGGCGCAUACAAAGAGAAGCGACCUCGCGAGAGCAAGCGGACUCAUAAAGUGCGUCGUAGGUCCGGAUUGGAGUCUGCAACUCGACUCCAUGAAGUCGGAAUCGCUAGUAAUCGUGGGAUCAGAAUGCCACGGUGAAUACGUUCCCGGGCCUUGUACACACCGCCCGUCACACCAUGGGAGUGGGUUGCAAAAGAAGUAGGUAGCUUAACCUUCGGGAGGGCGCUUACCACUUUGUGAUUCAUGACUGGGGUGAAGUCGUAACAAGGUAACCGUAGGGGAACCUGCGGUUGGAUCACCUCCUUACCUUAAAGAAGCGUUCUUUGAAGUGCUCACACAGAUUGUCUGAUAGAAAGUGAAAAGCAAGGCGUCUUGCGAAGCAGACUGACACGUCCCCUUCGUCUAGAGGCCCAG